rnacentral:tRNA from 1 species
GGGGGUAGAGCUCAGUGGCAGAGCACCUGCUUGGCGAGCAUGAGGUCCUGGGUUCAAUCCCCAGUGUCUCCA